AUAACGGAAAGAAUGACAGUGAUCCGGUUAUUGGCAAGUAUUGCGGUAAGACUAUACCACCACUCAUAAUUUCUACGUCCAAUUUCUUGUAUAUUAUAUUCCACACCGACUCAAUUCAUACAAGAACAGGUUUCAUCGCUACAGUUAGUCAAAUAAAACAUUUGAAAAUUAAUACACGAGGUAAACCAAUGUAUGUUGGUGUAAAUGCUGAUGAUUAUAGCAGCAAUGUAGAUCGUAACUGGUUAAUUGAAGCAGAUGAAGACCAAUUGGUGAGGUUUAACAUAACACAUUUCGAUCUGCAGAUAUGUACUAGCUGUGGAUGUGAUUAUAUUAAGAUAUUUAACGGAAAGAGUAGCAGUGAUCCGUUUAUUGGCAAGUAUUGCGGUAACACGAUACCACCAUCAAUAGUUUCUACGUCCAAGUUCUUAUAUGUUACAUUCCACACAGACCAUAGUCAAACAAGAACAGGUUUUAACGCUACAUAUGGUCAAAUAGAACGUUAUGGUGUCAGGUUGAAAGUGAUACCAGGUAAAAUAAUGUAUGUUGGUGUAGAUGCUGAUGAUUAUAACAACAAUGUAGAUCGUAACUGGUUAAUUGAAGCAGAUGAAGACCAAUUGGUGAGGUUUAACAUAACACAUUUUGAUCUGGAGAAAUGUACUAGCUGUGGAUGUGAUUAUAUUAAGAUUUAUAACGGAAAGAAUGACAGUGAUCCGGUUAUUGGCAAGUAUUGCGGUAAGACUAUACCACCACUAAUAGUUUCUACGUCCAAUUUCUUGUAUAUUAUAUUCCACACCGACUCAAGUCAUACAAGAACAGGUUUCAUCGCUACAGUUAGUCAAAUAAAACAUUUGAAAAUUAAUACACGAGGUAAACCAAUGUAUGUUGGUGUAGAUGCUGAUGAUUAUAACAACAAUGUAGAUCGUAACUGGUUAAUUGAAGCAGAUGAAGACCAAUUGGUGAGGUUUAAC